rnacentral:rRNA from 1 species
CUGGUGUCAGCCGCCGCGGUAAUACCAGCUCUCCGUGUGGUGUGGACGAUUAUUGGGCUUAAAGCGUUCGUAGCCGGCUUAACAAGUCUUCCGUUAAAUCCAACGAUUUAAUCGUUGGUCUGCGGGAGAUACUGUUGGGCUAGGAGGCGGGAGAAGCCGACGGUAUUCUCGGGGUAGGGGUGAAAUCCUGUAAUCCCGGGAGGACCACCAGUGGCGAAGGCGGUCGGCUAGAACGCGCUCGACGGUGAGGGACGAAAGCUGGGGUAGCGAACCGGAUUAGAGACCCGGAUAGUCCCAGCUGUAAACGAUGCGGGCUAGGUGUUGGGGUGGCUACGGGCCACUUCAGUGCCGCAUGGAAGCAAUUACGCCCGCCGCCUGGGGAGUACGGCCGCAAGGCUGAAACUUAAAG